UGGAGCAGGCCAUCCCUGCAGUGCUGGAGGGGCACUUGGCAGUGCAGGAGGUUUUAUUUGAUGUGAAGGAGGCAGAAGUCCUGGUGCAGGAGAAAGCGUCUUCCAAGCUCCUGUGCCGCCAUCCCUACCCCACCAUCUCCUGCGUGGGACGCUGCACGUGGAGCAGCAGGAUAUUCGCCUUCUGUGUGGCCUCUUCCCCGGAGAGCCCUGACGGGAGCACGUUCAACUGCCUGGUGUUUGCAUCCAGUUCUGAGCAAGAAUGCGAGGAAAUCGUCGGGAGAAUCGCUGCAGGAUUUAAGCACACGGAGUGGUUUGUCUGAGGAAGGAGAACCUCAUGAUGAGGCAUUGGUGUCCCAGCCUCCCCCAGCAGCACGUGAGGGAUGCAGGCCCUGGCUCCCAGAGCAGGAUUUGGGAUGGUUUUCACACCAGUGUCACACCAUCCUGGUGGGACAAUCAUGGAUAGCCACCGCUGACUUACAGCAGACACUGGUAGGAACUGCUGCUGCUCUUCCCUCUGAAGUGCCACUGCACUUUAAUUUCAUUGGAAUAAAUCAAGCCAAGCUGGCUCAA